rfam:Vigna angularis cultivar Jingnong 6 chromosome 11, whole genome shotgun sequence.
AUCUGAUGGUGGGGGCAGCUAGCACAAUGUGUCUUGAAUCUCUCCCAAUACUCAUACAGGUUCUCUCCAGCAAGUUGUCUAAUCCAGUUAUGUCUUUUCUGAUAGUU